GUCUGGGUGGCUCAGUCGGUUGAGCGUCUGACUUUGGCUCAGGUCAUGAUCUCACAGUCUGUGGGUUUGAGCCUUACAUCAGGCU
rnacentral:tRNA from 1 species